CUCAGAGUGAACGCUGGCGGUAGGCCUAACACAUGCAAGUCGAACGGCAGCACAGGAGAGCUUGCUCUCUGGGUGGCGAGUGGCGGACGGGUGAGGAAUACAUCGGAAUCUACCUUUUCGUGGGGGAUAACGUAGGGAAACUUACGCUAAUACCGCAUACGACCUUCGGGUGAAAGCAGGGGACCUUCGGGCCUUGCGCGGAUAGAUGAGCCGAUGUCGGAUUAGCUAGUUGGCGGGGUAAAGGCCCACCAAGGCGACGAUCCGUAGCUGGUCUGAGAGGAUGAUCAGCCACACUGGAACUGAGACACGGUCCAGACUCCUACGGGAGGCAGCAGUGGGGAAUAUUGGACAAUGGGCGCAAGCCUGAUCCAGCCAUACCGCGUGGGUGAAGAAGGCCUUCGGGUUGUAAAGCCCUUUUGUUGGGAAAGAAAAGCAGUCGGCUAAUACCCGAUUGUUCUGACGGUACCCAAAGAAUAAGCACCGGCUAACUUCGUGCCAGCAGCCGCGGUAAUACGAAGGGUGCAAGCGUUACUCGGAAUUACUGGGCGUAAAGCGUGCGUAGGUGGUUGUUUAAGUCUGUUGUGAAAGCCCUGGGCUCAACCUGGGAAUUGCAGUGGAUACUGGACGACUAGAGUGUGGUAGAGGGUAGUGGAAUUCCUGGUGUAGCAGUGAAAUGCGUAGAGAUCAGGAGGAACAUCCAUGGCGAAGGCAGCUACCUGGACCAACACUGACACUGAGCA
rnacentral:rRNA from 1 species